GGCCAACCUAGAAGAUUCCAUCUCAGACUGAGUCCUGGGUACCUGGCACUGAGGAGCCAUUGUGAACACACAUCCACACACGCUCAUGCACAGACAUGUGACAUACAUAAACACACACACACCCAUGCACAGACAUGCACACACACAUGCUUACAUACAGGCAUAGAUGCCCGUCCCCAGCCUCCUGGGUGCAACCGCUUUCCUUCCUGCUUCCUCCCACAUCCCAGCUGUCUUCUUCUCUGUCCAGCAGCAGAAAUUGGGCUUUGAGACAUGUCUAAGCCUGAUUGCGAGCUGUGUAGCCCAAACCCUGCCUGCGGACACAGUCUCCACACCUGUUCAGACCUUCCACCAGCCCCUCCUACCUCCCUUCAGACACACCCAGCCUACCCUGCCUCAUUGUGGGCCCUCACAUCUUCAGAGCCCUGUUCUGGGCCGCCCUCCCAUGCAUGCGGAACACUGCGUGACUUAAGGGUCAGGGUGUUCCCUUCAUGGCCUCGCUGUCCUGAGCACCCCGCAGUUUCAUGGUUUUCUCCAUUCCCUGCUGGGCUUUCUUUGCCAAGUGAAUGUGCUUUAGUCCUCUCUCAGCUCCUGAACUCUGCUCUGUCUCUCGCAGGACCAACCGUGUGUACCGGCAGGUCUUAAAGCGGUUCCCUGCUGCCUCCCAGGGCCUCGUUCAGGGUCAGCACCUGCCAGGUGCUCAGAAAACACUUAUUAAAAAACAGGAGAAAAGGGAAAGAGCAGAACGGAACAGAGAUGGGGAACCUGUCUAUUACUGCUUAGAUCCAAAUGUCCCCAACAGUCUAGAGCCAUACCACCCCAAAUGUGCCUGAUCUCAUCUGAAAUGUCACCCAGAAGUUCACCUGGCAAAGAUUUGGUUCCCAUGCAGCAGUGUUCAGAGGUGGGACCUCUGGUAACAGGAUCCCAAGGGCCCUGUCCCCAUCAAUGGACCAACCCAUGAUAAACUCACAGCUUCAAUGGCUCCUAGAAAAUAGAAAUAUAGAGAGGGUGGGACCCUGUUGGAGGAAGUCUAUUAUCAGGGACACGCCCUUGAAGGGUAUGCUGCCCCCAGAUAACUUCCUCUUGCUUCCUCUCUGGUUCCUAGCUGCAGUGAGGGAAGGAGUUGAGUUCCAGCAAGCUGGCCCUCCUGGGAUGCUGCACCUUGAAGUGGGCCAGAACCAAUGGAGUCAAGGGACCAUGGUGAAACCAGAAACCAAAAUAAACCUUCCCUCCUCC
rnacentral:lncRNA from 1 species